GAGAUCCACCUGCCUCUGCCUCCCCAGCGUUGGGAUUAAAGGCUUGUGCCCAAUGGGAAAAUGUAUUUUUAUGUAAUGGAAGUGGGAAGAGUCUAUUACGGUGCAGGAGUGAAAUGUAAGGGAUAUACACAGAGAAUCUGAGCCGUUUGCUCUGAGUCCAGCAUUAACCUAUUAGUACAAAUUAGACUUUGAAUAGGUGCUUCAGCUCCACCCAGGGUAGAUUAUGCCCUGUAUCUGCUUUGAUUGGAAAUGAUUAACCAAAUGGUGUUUAUUGCCUCAUCUCUGAAAAGAUCUAAAAAUAGUUCCUAUUGGCUAUCCUGUCAGAGCAGUUGUCAGAUGUUAGCCAGAUUCCUUUUCGUAAGGACGGACAUUGUCUUAUUUUGGGGUUGUCUUGCUUUGUGGCCCAGACAGGUCUUGAAGGGGUUCUUAGACCUUUCUUCUCUCCCCCAUUGUUAGGAUUGCACGUGCACUACCACACCCAGUGGCCCUUGUUCGGUGAGCUUCUGUAAAGGUUUAUGGAGCAGAUAACACAUAUAUAUUAUAAUACGUUUAUUAUAUAUUAUAUAUAAUAUAUAUAAUACAUUUAUAGCUUUGCUUUCUAUCCAGGGUUUUACCCUCCCAUGAACCGUUUACUUUUUAGCUAACCAGCUGGGGUAUAAGUCAGGAACACUGCAUGUUUCCUAGCUUGUCUGAGAUCCCGAAUUCAGUCCCCAGGAAACGGUGAAGCUAAGUACCUGAGUAAAGCCAUGAGCUGGCUUCUGAGUCACCAAGCCAGCAGAUUCAGAGGAGCCGCACUGCAGCGCCUCGGGAUGUUCCUCACAGCAAGUGCAGCUGAGCAGCAGUGGCCAGUGUGCUCCUUUGUACUGUGAUGAGACAUGCUUUGAAGGGCGUGUGACUUAGUGAGGCUUCUUGCCUGAUGCUACUGCAGUAGGAUGCUCUGAAGCUACCUUGUAAACUCUGAGGCCUGCAUUUCCAGCCUUUUCUCUCUGCCAUUUUUGGGGAUGGAACCCAGGUCCUCAUGCUUGCUAUGCGGGUGCACCCCACUAAGUAAUGCCCAGCCCUGGGCUAUCCUUUACUUCCUCACUCUUUCCUCUUUCCUUACCACGUUUUACUCUAUCCUUUUAAAUUUGGGAGACAGACGGGGGACAACAAAUGUUUAUAAAGUCAGGAAAUAAGUAUUGCUGGUCUUUCCUUUUUGGGCUUUAUGUAGUGGGUACAUUGAAUAGGUGGCUUGAGUCCAGUGGAUGGCCGUACACUCAUGCACAAGUGGGCUGUGCUGAUUGGAUGCAGGGAAGUAGGGAGGGAGCUAGGAUGGGGUGAUGGGGGGCUGGAGGGAGGGCAUGAUGGAUUGGAUGUAGCCUGUGUACAUUGUAUACACUUAUGAGAAGUUCAAGCUAGAUAAAUGGUUCCACAGCUAAGAGCACCUGUUGCUCUUGCCGAGGACCCAAGUUCAAUUCCCAUGGUUUAUAACCAUGGGUGACUCCAGAGGAUCUGAUGUCCUUUUCUGACCUCCAGAGAGCACCAAACAUGCACAUGGCGUACAUACAUACAUGCAGGCACCACACACACGUAAAAUGAAUAAAUAUAUUUUUUAAAGUGUAUAAUUAAAAAUUGUGAUUAUUUUCAAAGAAUAAAAAGUAUUGGGGCUGGAGAGAUGGCUCAGCGGUUAAGAGCACUGACUGCUCUUCCAGAGGUCCUGAGUUCAAUUCCCAGCAACCACAUGGUGGCUCACAACCAUCUGUUAAUGGGAUCUGAUGCCCUCUUCUGGUGCAUCUGAAGACAGUGACAGUGUACCCAUAUAAAAAAAAAAUAAUAAAUCUUUAUUUAAAAAAGUAUUAUAGUUUUUAAAGAAAAUACCAAAACAAAAAAAUUGUAUCCGUGCUGAACAUGUGUAGACUUUUUUCUUACUCACAAAGAAUACAGUAAGGAACGAUUGGUGCACAGCUUAUACUAAUUGAAGUUGUAUUACCAGCCAUUUAGAGACAUCUCGGGUGCCCAGAAGACCUGCCAUUAUACCUAGCAGACUUGAGCACCUGUGGGUUUGGGUAUUUCUGAGGAGUUCAGAAUGCAGUCCCCUUCGGACACUGUCUGCCAUCCACCCAGGGUUCAUCUCUUUCUCAGUCUUCUCCCUCCAUCUUGUUACCCGUUUCUUUGUCCUGACCCUUCAGAUGUCCGAGCCUCUGCUGCCGCUUAACACGCUGCUGAGGUUGUGUGUGUACUUGCAAAAGACCAAUUGCCUGGGGUGGCCUCUGAUGGCCAUGUGACCCUGGAGAGUAAUCUUUCUAAGCCUCAAUUAAGUAAAAAGCCACGUCUGCUGCAAGAUGGUAUCUUCUGCAUUGGACAGGGAGCUGCUCCCGAGAAAUCUCAACAGUGAAGAUCCCAGUAGACAUUUCAGGGUGGGGGAAAUAUCACAAACUGCCCUCCUAGAUAAGGAGCGAUAGGAAAGUAAUGGCUGCUGACAGAGGGGAGUCUUCUUCAAGGAUGAUUCCCCCCCCCCCUCAAUCCGGAUUCAUGUGUGAAAUUCUCAGAAAGGAGAAAAAGACACAGUAGCAGUGAACGGGGCUGCUAUGUCAGAGGUAAGUUGAGGAGUUAAAUGAGGCGGUGCUGGUGACUGUGGCUUCUAGAGUCGGAAAGGACCUACGUGGGGCUAGGCUGGUGUGCUUGGGUGACUAGCAUGCAAGCUAGGCUCUCUUGGGGUCCCUCUUCACCCUCAUUCCCAGAGGUCCUUCAUCAUCUUCUGGGUUGGUGAUGACGGUUUGCUCUAUUACGUUACCCUGAGGAAGAGCAGAGGGAGGCCUUUGAGAUGCUCUGCUCCCGUUGAUUGACAGCUUGACUGAGCAGAGAGUUGUUGGCAGCUUUCCUUCAGGACUGUGGAUGGAUGUGAACAUGGCGUCUUCUGGCCUUGAGUAUCUGUUAGGAAAUGGGGAGCUUCAGACUCCUUUCCCUCCCUUUUUACACAGGUUUGAUCCUGAGGCCCAGGUUGGCAGUGAAUCUGAGGAGAGGAGAAAAAGAUGGCUAGACUGGAAGCCAGCAGGCCCCUGCGAUCCUUCUGGCUCUACAUCCUUUGGUGCCGGGGCUGUGCACAUGAGGAACACCCUCAUAGGGUGCGUGGGGCUUUUAGUUUUCCUCAGUUUUGAGUACACAUUAUAUUUAACAUAUAAUACAAAUAUAUAAUUGAGUAAUAUUAGAAUAUUAUUUUGAGGGUGGGUGAGACAGGGUCUCACUAAGUAGCUCUGGCUUUAGGACUCACUACAUACAUCAGGGUGGCCUCAAACUCAAAGAGAUCAUCCACUUGCCUCUACCUUCUGAGUGCUGGGAUUAAAGGCUUGCACCACCAUGCCCUGUGGUCUCCAAUCUUUGAAUAUCUUGACUGUGGGUCAAUGUUUAUUUACUUGAUGUUGGGAUCAAACCCAGGGCCUCGUGCAUGAAGCACAUACUCUACCAAUGAACUUCCCAGCCCUUUUGUGUGUGUGUCUGUGUUUAGGCACACAAGCAUGCAUACAUGUCCACACAGAUGCCAAAAUACCACACUGCACAUGUGUAGAGGUCAGAGGUCAGAGAACUUGCAGGGCCUGGUUCUCUCCUUCUACCCUGUGGGAUCUUUGUCCUCAGGCUGGAGGGGUGCGCUAGAGAACCCAACCCAUCUAUUCUCUCGGUUUUCUUCAUUCUGCCUGAAAUAAUGGUACUUAGUAAAAUAAAUAAACAAAUAAAAACUUCUCCCUCUUACUUAGUAGCACAGUUUGGCCAAGGGCAGAUGUGUGUGGACUUGCUGUUUUAUGUGAUGGGUUCUGUCUACUUGGCCAGCCAGCAAGAGCUGCACAGUGCAGAACCUGAAGGGAGCCAAAGAAAGAGGGAGGUUCAUAGGCAGAGAUUGUUGGGUUGGUGGGGGUCAAGCGUUUUAUACUAGAAUUCUAGGCAGAUGUUAUUUUAGAAAAAAAAAAAUUCCAGGCAUUUUUGGAAAUCUGUUUCGAGAGGCAUGUGGCUGGAAUCCUGGGCUCCCAGCCAGGGUCUAGCUUUGUGGAAUUUACCCAGUUGAAUUUAAAACAAAACAAACAAACAAAAAGCAAAACCAAAAGUAAGGUUCAGCUCAUAAACUCUCAGCGUGCGACCCCUCAGGGCGCUCCCUGCCUCUCGGGGCCGGUCCCUGCCUCUGUGCUCAGAAGUGAGUCUAGGCUCUGGGUGGUGGCCUGCUUGACAUUGAGUCCCAAGAGUGACUGUUUUGACAAGAUCCAAAAGUGAGUAUGUGCUGGAAACUCUGGGAAGUCCAGGGCUUUACCAAGACUUCAUUCAUCUGUGCUUGAGGCCAUAUCAUAAUCUUCCUAAGCACAGGGAGGAUCCUGGUUACUGCUGUGUCGGAUCCACCAGAGAAGACUGCUCCGAUGUGAGUUUAGGCCAGUAGAAAGUCUUAGCUAGUGGGCAACUACAUCUCAGGAGGAGCUUUUAAACACAAAAACCAUGUCUGGGUAGACAUACUUCAGUUAAUAAGAACAGUUAGCCAGAAGUAGAACUACAGAAGCUAAAAAGCAAGGUGAGAGAUUUCCCCAGAAUUAUCGACUUCGAUGGAUUAGAUCUUCAUUUUCCUUUAUGUCCUGGGUGGUACUUCCACCAUGGAGUGAGUUGUGCUACGGUCUGGGGCCCUCUUUCACUUACUGUCUUUAAUUCACAUUCACACUUUAACAUACUUUCCUACCACCAAGGAUGUGGGAAAAUGGUAUAGGACGUUGACAGAAGUUAUAUUCAUGUCCACUUUAAUCUCAGAAAAAAUAAGUGACUUUACUACUGUCUAAUAGAAGCAUAAUGGUCUUAUUUGUAUAUAACAUAGAUUGAAAACCUGUCUGAGGCAUGGAUGUUCAAACACUUCAUGCUGGGUCCCCAGUUACAGCGCAUUAAGUAGCACCCAUGUGCACACAUUCUGAAGGGGCCUCUGCAGCUCGGCUGGUUGGCGCUUUCCCACCCAGAGCUGGAGACACUUGAAAGGAUAAGCAUGUUAUGCUGGAGGGAGCGGAAACAUGUCUUAUUUUAAAUAUAAAGAAACUGCCGUGCACCUGAGUACUGUGGCUUGUGCCCAU